rnacentral:rRNA from 1 species
UACGAAGGGGGCUAGCGUUGCUCGGAAUCACUGGGCGUAAAGCGCACGUAGGCGGAUCUUUAAGUCAGGGGUGAAAUCCUGGAGCUCAACUCCAGAACUGCCUUUGAUACUGGGGAUCUCGAGUCCGGGAGAGGUGAGUGGAACUGCGAGUGUAGAGGUGAAAUGCGUAGAUAUCGGGAGGAACACCAGUGGCGAAGGCGACUACCUGGCCUGUUCUUGACGCUGAGGCGCGAAAGCUAGGGGAGCAAACGGG